rnacentral:rRNA from 1 species
GACGAACGCUGGCGGCGUGCUUAACACAUGCAAGUCGAACGGAAAGGCCCUGCUUUUGUGGGGUGCUCGAGUGGCGAACGGGUGAGUAACACGUGAGUAACCUGCCCUUGACUUUGGGAUAACUUCAGGAAACUGGGGCUAAUACCGGAUAGGAGCUCCUGCUGCAUGGUGGGGGUUGGAAAGUUUCGGCGGUUGGGGAUGGACUCGCGGCUUAUCAGCUUGUUGGUGGGGUAGUGGCUUACCAAGGCUUUGACGGGUAGCCGGCCUGAGAGGGUGACCGGCCACAUUGGGACUGAGAUACGGCCCAGACUCCUACGGGAGGCAGCAGUGGGGAAUAUUGCACAAUGGACGGAAGCCUGAUGCAGCAACGCCGCGUGCGGGAUGACGGCCUUCGGGUUGUAAACCGCUUUCGCCUGUGACGAAGCGUGAGUGACGGUAAUGGGCAAAGAAGCACCGGCUAACUACGUG